rnacentral:rRNA from 1 species
ACGGCUCAGUAACACGUGGACAACCUACCCUACAGAAGGGGAUAACCCCGGGAAACUGGGGAUAAUACCCUAUAGACUAUGGAUGCUGGAAUGCUCUGUAGCCGAAAGGUCCGCCGCUGUAGGAUGGGUCUGCGGCCGAUUAGGUUGUUGUUGGGGUAACGGCCCAACAAGCCUGUAAUCGGUACGGGUUGUGGGAGCAAGAGCCCGGAGAUGGAUUCUGAGACACGAAUCCAGGCCCUACGGGGCGCAGCAGGCGCGAAAACUUUGCAAUGCGGGAAACCGUGACAAGGGAACUCUGAGUGCCCGUAAAAUCGGGCUGUCCAUCGGUUUAAAAAACCGGUGAAGAAAGGGCCGGGCAAGACCGGUGCCAGCCGCCGCGGUAAUACCGGCGGCUCGAGUGGUGGCCACUAUUACUGGGCUUAAAGCGUUCGUAGCUGGUUUGUUAAGUCUCUGGGGAAAUCUUCCGGCUUAACCGGAAGGCGUCUCAGGGAUACUGGCAGACUAGGGACCGGGAGAGGUGAGAGGUACUCCAGGGGUAGGAGUGAAAUCCUGUAAUCCUUGGGGGACCACCUGUGGCGAAGGCGUCUCACCAGAACGGCUCCGACAGUGAGGGACGAAAGCUGGGGGAGCAAACCGGAUUAGAUACCCGGGUAGUCCCAGCUGUAAACGAUGCGCGUUAGGUGUAUCAGUGACCACGAGUCACUGAGGUGCCGAAGAGAAAUCGUGAAACGUGCCGCCUGGGAAGUACGGUCGCAAGGCUGAAACUUAAAGGAAUUGGCGGGGGAGCAC